AACGUAGGAGACAAACGUUAUCCGGAGUUACUGGGCGUAAAGGGCGUGCAGGCGGUCUGUUAAGUCUGGCGUGAAAGCUCUCGGCUAAACCGGGAGAGGUCGUUGGAUACUGAUGGACUAGAGGACGGUAGAGGCGUGUGGAAUUCCGGGUGUAGUGGUGAAAUGCGUAGAGAUCCGGAGGAACACCAGUGGCGAAGGCGACACGCUGGGCCGUACCUGACGCUAAGACGCGACAGCAUGGGGAGCGAACGGG
rnacentral:rRNA from 1 species